ACUUACUUGUCUAGACUGCUCUCCACAUCUAAGGUGGCCCUCCUUUACCUAGGAAAAGGCAGCUUAGGUUGUUCCCCAUCUAAGCUGUGAGGGUACUUGAGAUUAAGUUAAACUUUAUGAUACCAAUCUAACACAGAUACUUAUAGAACCACUAGUUUUAUUGACAAAGGGUUAUCCUAGUGGGAUUUGCAUCUGCUCUUUUAUUGCUCCUGGCAUUAAUCUUUUUUACCAUCAAUCAUUCAGUUUUUUUGGGGGGACAGGCAGGGAGGCUGAGAUGGGUGGAUUGCUUGAUUUUGAGUUAUAAAAUGUUAGCUAAAAGGGGUCUUAGAGACUAAGCUGCUGGGGUGAUAGCCACCUUUAACAGCUGUGGAAAUCAAGGCCACAAACUGAAGUUAAUUGACAUAGGUCACAGGUGUGUUGGGACCAAUUCAGUCUUAAGUGUAGGGAUGUCUGUCAACAUUCCACGUUGUUAUAUUUGACUGUGACUGACUCUUCCAUUUUGCAUUUAAAAACAAAAUGGUGGACAGUGGUAAAUGAGAUCACUGUAAUUAAACACCAAAAGAUUUGACCACUGAAUGACUGCAUUUUUUUCUUUAUACUUCAUUAUAGGUAUUCUAUAGACUCAUCUUAAUUUUUUUUGAGCCAGUGUCAUACUCUGUCACCCAGGCUGCAGUGCAGUGGUGCGGUCAUGACUCACUGCAGCCUUGACCUCCCAGGUUCUAGCUAUCCUCACUCCACAGCCUCUGUAAUCUCUUUUUUUCUUUUCUUUUCUUUCUCUCUUUCUUUCCUUCCUUCCUUCCCUUUCUUCCUUUCUUCUUUUCUUUCUUUCUUUUUUCUUUCUUUCCUUUCUUUCUCUCUUUCUUUCUUUCCUUUUUCUUUUCUUUCUUUCUCUCUCUCUCUCUCUUCCUUCCUUCCUUCUCUCUCUCUCUCUCUCUUUCUUUCUUUCUUGAUGGAGUUUCCCUCUUGUUACCCAGGCUGGAGUGCACUGGCGCAAUCAGCUCACUGUGACCUCCGCUUCCUGGGUUCAAGUGAUUCUCCUGCCUCAGCCUCUCAAGUAGCUGGGAUUACAGGCAUCUGCCACCAAUUUUUUGUCUUUUUAAUAGAGAUGGGGUUUCACCAUGUUGGCGAGGCUGGUCUUGAACUCAUGACCUUAGGUGAUCCAUCCGCCUUGGCCUCCCAAAGUGUUGGGAUUACAGACGUGAGCCACUGUGCCCGGUCAGUCUUUCAUUAGUCUUUCUCGUUCUGUUUGUUGGUUUUCUCUCUUGCUUCAAAAGCACAUAUAGUCUGCAGUGAAAAAGAUAUGUAACUUUCUGAUCACACAUCGUUUCCUACCUUCUUUUUUUCUGUGAAGGAGAAAAAUCUUUUCCUUAUUGGCAUGGAAACAAACCAGUGUUUAUGUCUUAAAAUGUCUGAUUCUCUUUUCCUUCUUAUUUGAGGUACUGAUAAUAGGAAAACCAUUUUGAAUUAUUAGGAAUUCCUACAUCAUACUCUCUGAUAAAUACAGCCAAAAGCAAUCCCAUGCAUGGUGGGCAUGGAGGAUGGCCAAGUUAUGGGUCUGCCAUAACAAAAAGGAUUAUAAACAUUAUGGUCCAUGUUCUUCAUAUUCAAUUUUCAAAGAACCUAUCUUAACCUCUGGAAUAUUUGCUAUUAAACAUAGGUUACCCCAUUAGAAAUAAAAUAUAAAGCAGAGGGACCAGAAGAUGACUCCUUUCUGUUCUUUACCAAUAGGACAUCUUAAAGCUUUUUAUCUGUAUAUAUGGAUAAAAUUAAAAUAUAUAUGGAUAUAAAUGGAUAUAUAAAUGUAUUUUAAUGAACUGCUUUUUUUUCACACUAUCAGUCUCUGGUAAGUAGUGGAUAUUGGUACAACUGGUUUGAAUAAUAAAGCCAAUGCUGUGAAGACAUACUAUUACUUAAUUUUAUGUCAUUUGGCUAGUUUGAAUUGUAGCAACUGAGUUACUUAUGAGCCAUGCACAGUACACAUAGUAUGUACCUAUGUGUCUUAGGUGUGAGUAGCCAGAAGCAUGUGUAUAUGGAGCUGAUUAUUACCUCUUGAGCAAACAGAUUAACUUUUAUAAAAUUCAGUUUUCUCAUAUGUAAAACGUGGGGAUAGGGUUGCGGGGAGUUGGAAUAAUACAUGUCAAACGUUUAGGACAAAUCAUGCAUUCUGUAAGUGCUCAAUUAAGGGCAGUUAGUUUCAUUAACAUAUAAAGAGGAAAAUUGACUUCAUCAUAGUCAUAGUUCUUUAACUUUGGGUCAUUAAGCUUUUCACUGAUUUAAGGAAAAACCUUCCUAAGAGUAUUUUCUUUCAUUUAUUUUUUCACUUUCAGUUUUUGUUCCUCGUCUUAUUAUUUUUUUCCUAUACUUAAAUCAGCUUAAGACAUCAUUAUUCAAAGAAUAAAACACAAUAAAGUUUUGUUCUUCCAAGUUAAAAAUAUGUGAUAUGGCUAGUGGUUUUCUUCUGUAUUGGUACAAUGGUAUAUAUGUUCCUAAGCAUUGACUAUAAUUUGGACUAACAAUUUUUUUAUAUUAAAUCUUAUGCAUAAGAAAUAUGAACUUGGUCCUAAAAGCAAGAACUCAAAACAGAAAUAUAAAAAGGUUGUACAGUUCACAUAUAAAAAAGCAUUUGAUCUAUUUUGCAUAGUAAGAACAAAAUAGAUCUGAAUUAAGAACAUGUAAAAGUGGAUUUUUUCCAGAUGGAUUUAUUGUGUCUGAAAUAAUUUGAAAAAUAGUAUGCAAGGUUGUCUCUUUCCUGUCUCCCUCCAAGGAAGCAUUAGCUGUAAGUAUUUGGAAAUGUUAAUUGAUAGAUGAAACCUCAGCAAAAGAAGAAGAGCACAUUUUGACCAAUACCGAAAUAACUAACUUAAGCUUAGCUUAGAAAGCUUUUGGUGAUGCUGCAUACCUUUUAUGUCAGUUCAUUGAGCUGCAGCCAUUUACAGUGGCCUAAAGAAUAAUGACCUUGAAUUACCUCAUGUAAGAAGUCUGGAGGUUGAAAUUUCAAGGCGCUACAGCAGAAAUCCAUGCUCUUUUCCAGCGACUUUGGAGUAUAAUCUUCCUUGCCCAUGCCUGUUUCCUCAAUAUAUAACAAGACUGUUGCCAUAUAGCACUAAGGCUUUCAAGAGCAGGAAGCUGGAAGACCUUUUAUUUGUGCGCCUCUCUUAUUUUAUCAGCAGAGGAAAAUUUUGUCCCAAAGCCUUCUAUCAUAUUUCCUUUUCUGUUUCAUUGGUCAGAACUGUGUCACAUGGACACCCUUAACUCCGAAGGGGCUAAGAAAGUCAGUAUCUAGCAAAAAGCAGUGGGACUACCAUGGUGCAUUUGUACUAACUUUGAUUUAUCCCCUAGGCCUGGGGCAGGAGCCUAGCUUCCCUGAGUCAAGACAGAUUUGCCAGGUACAUGUAUGUAAAAUCAGGGCUCUGUGGGUGAGUAGGAAGGAUUGGCUAAUUGAUAGGCAAGGAACAGUGUCUGCUAUUUCCUUGAGCAAUGAUAGUGACCGGUUGCUGUAAUAGGAUUUUUGAAGCAACAGUGUUACCAUGACAGUCUGAUCAUGCUGGUGACCAUCAUUCAGCAGUGAAUAGUUAACUGCCAGGCAGUGUACAAUGGAGAGAUUGAGCUGCAGAUACAAAUUUGGAAGUUAUUAGCAUAUAUAUGGUAUCUAGAUUUAUGGGGACAGAUACUCUCUCCAGAUCAAAACAACUAAAAUGGCAUGAUGGUAAUAAAAUAAUUUUAAAAAUCUGGUAUUAUAGAAUGCCUAGGUGGUAAGUGAAGUUUUUUUUUUCUCUUUUUUGUUUUUAAAUGGAUUUUAUUUUUUAGAGCAAUUUUAGGUUCACAGUGAAAUUGAGCAGAAGAUACAAAGAUUUCCCAUGUACCCACUACGCCUACACAUACACAGCCUCCUCUACCAUCAGCAUCACGUACAACAGGGGUAUGUUUUUGUCUUUGUUUUUUUUGAGAUGGAGUCUCA